rnacentral:lncRNA from 1 species
CAGGUACUCCUGUAGAGCGAAGAUCUUCAUCAGAGUGCUCAGUCUAGGAAGCCAGUCAGUGUUCAGUAAAUACGGGAUAAUUAAUGAUCAUAAAGGAGAUGCAUUGUCACUGAAUAGCUAAAUUCUUGCUUCAAAGAACCUGAGGUUACUCUCUCUUUUUAUCUGUUUUCUACUGGGAUACGCGUUGGAGAUACAUUUACUUAUGUCUUCUAGACACUACCGUUAUACAUACAUAUAUACCUACAUACAUACACACUGUUCAGAAAAACAGCAGUCUGGUUUUAUUACAAUAAUAGGAUAAGACAGAUCUUUGUAAAGAGGAUCAAAGAAUCUCUCAACAGAAUAUGAAUUUUUCCAUUUUCCUUGCUCAGAUGAAUGAAUUGGAUUGAUUUAAAAAGUUGGACCCCCAUGAAAUGCCUGACAGAGUCACUUAGGGUCUACAUCGAAAUCUGAAAAAAUUUGGCUGAACACCAAUUAGGAAUUGCUGGGGAUCUUAGACACAUGACUGUACACCCGUCAAAGACUUUUCUUGAGGUAGUUUGGGGGUUUCCCUGGGGAAAGUAUUAAUAUUGACCUACUGUGACUAUUACUUAUACUACUCUCUUCUUAUGCUAACACAUACUGUUUUUGGAAUGUACAUUCUUGAUGUUUAAUUAUGUGCUAUCUUGUAUGUCCUCCAGUAACAAGGUUGUAAGUUUCCCACAAGGACCCGAACUGUAUGUUGAAGCAGUACUGGGACUUCUAAGGAGUACCAAAUGUAACAGUUCAUUAGUUGGAAGGACCGUUUCGGCUGCUCUGUGGUACCAUUAAUGAAAACUCUUGUUAUCAUGAUCACUGUAUUUUUUAUUAGAAUAUUGGAGUGACUUAUGACUCUUUCGGCACAUCAUACCUUUAUAGAGUAUAUGCCAAACCACAAACUCUCCAGGCAAGUCAUGUAAUAAACACCAGGAUUGUAGCAUCAUUGUGAAAACUCAAACUCUGAAGGGAUUCAAUCACAGUGCUUCAGUCUUUUUUUUUUUUUAAACUUGGUUUACACCAUUUUAAGUAUUUA